rnacentral:rRNA from 1 species
UACAGAGGGUGCGAGCGUUAAUCGGAAUUACUGGGCGUAAAGCGCGCGUAGGCGGCUUUUCAAGUCGGAUGUGAAAAUCCCCCGGGCUUAACCUGGGAACUGCAUUCGAGACUGUCUAGCUAGAGUAUGGGAGAGGGAAGUGGAAUUUCAGGUGUAGCGGUGAAAUGCGUAGAUAUCUGAAGGAACAUCAGUGGCGAAGGCGGCGACCUGGACAGGCACUGACACUCAACUACGAAAGCGUGGGGAGCAAACAGG